AAAAGACAAUUGCAGGUAACAAGAGUUACCGCGCAGCACACAAUCGCUCUACAAAGAUCUUCUGGUCUGUAGUAGGUUGAUGAAGGCUACUUUCACGCUGGAGUUAUUUACAUAACGCUGAAGAGGUGCGCUAAGUAGUUUUGGUAUUAGAAUGAUGUAAUUGUUAACAUAGUUUAUUUCUGAAGCUAUCUGUGACUCUGUGGAUGAAUUUUGUGGCUAUGAACAACUGCAAGAAAUCUGUGAAAACUAAAAUCAUUUAAUGUCUGCAUUUAUAGAACAGGGUCAAGAUUAACCAUAGCAGCAACAAAGACAAUGCAGAAGCAUUCAGUAACAACAAUGAGCUAUUAAAGAUUUUGGUAGAAGCCUGGGUGUGGAACUGAAUCUCUAGGGUAAGUAUAUCAGGUGGCUGGCUUUGCUAAAGUGACUAGUCUGCUGAAAUCAAUAGUUUUGUUUCAGCUACCAGGAGUCUGGUUUUAUUACAGAAGUUCUUUUCCGCUGCAAAAAUGUAUUAAAUGUUUUCAACUGCCUGCAUGUGACUCUGCAAACAGUUAAAUGCACAAUUUUACUUGCAGAAGUAAUUUCAUUGUCAUUUUGUUCCUAAGCACACUAAAAACUAAUGCAGAAAGAAAACUCUCACAAAACUUUCUCCUCUAGCAUCUAGCUUAAGCUCCCUCAUCCUUGCUCCUUUCUGCAUGUUACAAGUCUCCCUCUCAUACAAAUCAUUCUUCAGUUAGAACAAAUUCUGAACUAAAAAAGCACUCAUCAAUAGCUUUUAAAAAAGUACUUAGCUAGAAAAAAGCCACUAAAACAACAAUAUACGUUUGAUGCCUAAAUUUUUUACAGAGGGGAAUCUGGUACUAAGUGUUACUUUAAAAACUCUCUUCAAAUAAAUAUGGAAUAGUCAAUCUUUUGAGUGCAAAACUGCUUGCUCUUAAAUUGUUCAUGGAGCAGUCUCCCCAGGUAUAUACUUUAAAAAUCAGCUGGAUCCCCUGCAAGAGGCAUUUUCUUUGCAGUGCUAGCUUUCUUCACUGCUUUCAUGAAUUUUGGUGAUAUUAUCUAGAAAAGGCAUGAUAACAUUAAUCAUUGUGAAGAGAGGCCUAAAGCUGCAACUGCUUGUUUCACUAUCCCGAAUUUAACAGUAGCACGAUCAAUACCUGCCAUAUAUUCCAAAUACUGUGGUAAAAAAAGGGUAUGAAGUAUUCUUCUGUAUUCCAUUGUAUUAAGCAAAGAAGUGUAUGCUGUUUGACCAGACAGCUUGGUCAACCAGUUCUGGGGACAGUUCAGCAAUGCAAGCCCUGCUAAAACAAUGCCAUUUUAGCCAGUCUGGAAUAUAGCAUGUCAGACUUCAAGAGCAUAUUCACUUGGAUCCAGAUACCCUAGCUGGCUUUGAAAAUUCAUUAUUAUUAACAUACUAAUAACUAUGCUGUUAAUAGGCUUACAGUCCCUUCCAGAACUGUAACCAGCUCAGGCUUUCCAGGACCAGUAGAGAGCACAAUUUAACAAAGCUUCAUAGACACUAGCUGAGUCUGUGCAAUUCAUGUGUCUUGUAAUGAACAGAGAGAAACUAUAUUUCAGUGGCAGUUUUAUCUAUUCAAAGUAAUGCAAAAGCUUCUGCUGAUUGAGGUGAGCUUCUUCUAGGCCCACCCUGAUGUUAUAGAAGGGACUACCUGUGACGCAGUACAUUUAAUGAAGAAAGAUAUUCGGGAUUGACUGAAUGCAAACUCUUGCUUUUACAGGCAAACACUUUGUACAAUUCCCCUUUAAAAAACAGAAAAACCCGGAAGCUAGCUUGGAUUUUUGCUCUUACAACUUCUGCUGGGGAGGCUGCUCCGCAAAGUUCCUGCUCAGCAUUGCCAUGCUGUCCUUCCUCCCAGUGUACAGAUACGACUGAGAUCAGUUAGUACCUGUUAAGUGGGGAAGCAAACACAUCCCAGUUUCACAGACGGAGACCAAACCAAGUGGUACUUAAUACAAUGUAAUGGAAGAUACCCAGAGAACAACGCUUUUCAUUGUGGAUCAGUCACUUCCCAGCUUUUUGUAACAAAUACAAAAUGGGCAUGUAACGAACAACAAAUGAACAAAAGAACUGUACUCAUCGGCAAGCAUUUAUAUCCACAGCACACUUCAACCUACAAUGCAAAUGAAAUUCUCACAACACUCACAUACCAUCAAAGAGCUAUGCUUGAAAAGGAUUCCUGCUCUUGAGUGUGUGUGGCACCUACUAUCAAUGAUGAGAGUGAGAGCCACAUGUUUAAACUUUUUCUCUUAACCUCAGCAUUCUGUGAUCAUUUCCACAGCUUUGCUUAUUUAUCAUUUUGCUUCAUAAACACUAACAGUUGCAUUAUACUGCUAUUCUAUUUUCUUACUUUUAUGAGUCCAGGAAUUUAUAAGAAAAUAAACUUUAAAACUAAUUUACAAUAGUCAGUGAGCAAUUUUGUAGGCAUUUUUCCAUGACUGUUGUACAAGGCUGAGUUAACAGUGGAACUAUAUUUAGCAGAAUAACAGUGUAAUUCUAUUUUCAUUUCACUUGCUAGCAUUACCUUUGCAAAACUGCAUUAUCACACUGUUUGCUUUAUAAAUCCAUUCUCAGUCUCUAAAUCACCAACACAAACUAUAUAUUUGAGAUUCUUCUAGAAGGCUCUGGUUAUUAGAAGUACAUGUGUUCUCCCAUGGCCACUUCUGAUAACC